AGCUUUGUGCAGUGGCAGUAUCGUAGCCAAUGAGGUUUAUCCGAGGUGCGAUUAUUGCUAAUUAAAGAUAAGGUGCUUUUCCCUUGGCUUCUUUCAAUAUAUAUAUAUUUUAUUUUUCAUAGCCUUUUGUUUGAAAA